rnacentral:sRNA from 1 species
CAACAACAUAAUCCCAAUCAAAUUGUUU